rnacentral:lncRNA from 1 species
CCUUCCAUAGCCAAGGCCUCACAGGAAGCACUGACGGUCAGAGGACGCUUUGACAAUUGAAGACAUAUAGGUCCAGAGCUAGAAGGAGAGGGAUAUCCUAUUUGAAAGGAGGUCUCACCCAAAGUCUCUACUGCUUUGUAGAUGUACCACAUCUGGCAUGCAGUUAAAAUGGUCUAGGUACACCAACAGUCAGACUCACAUGAUCAAGAAACCAAAAGAGAAGAGUGGAAACAGCAGAAAUUGUGAGGACAGUGACCGACAUUGCAUGCCAGAGAAUAAAGGGUAUGCAGUCGAACCCAUUGCUGGCUCUUCCAGGAGGCUUCCUACCACCACCACCACCAUCGCUGCUCCCUCAUAAGCAACGGUCUCAUCCCUGGCUAAUCUAGACAGUUUGCCUGGAUGUCUUGCUGAACUCACAAAGCACAGAGAUUGUAAAACCACAACACAUUCAAGUUCGAGACCAGCCACUUGUUAAUUGUGGGACCCCGGAAGAGUUACUUGUCUUAUUUGUACCUGGCUCUGUUUCCCUGCCUAUAAAGUGGAGUUGUUAAGGUGAUUAAUUGGGAGGUAAUUACCGACCCAAUGGCAGCAUCUUGAGCUCUUAUGUAAGCCUGUGCAACUUGAAGUUUAACUAACUUUGCCAGG